rnacentral:rRNA from 1 species
GCAUAUCAAUAAGCGGAGGAAAAGAAACCAACAGGGAUUGCCCUAGUAACGGCGAGUGAAGCGGCAACAGCUCAAAUUUGAAAUCUGGCCCCAGGCCCGAGUUGUACUUUGCAGAGGAUGCUUCGGGCGCGGCCCUUCCCAAGUCCCCUGGAACGGGGCGCCUUGGAGGGUGAGAGCCCCGUACGGUCGAGCGCCUAGCCCGUGUGAAGCUCCUUCGACGAGUCGAGUAGUUUGGGAAUGCUGCUCUAAAUGGGAGGUAGACCCCUUCUAAAGCUAAAUACCGGCCAGAGACCGAUAGCGCACAAGUAGAGUGAUCGAAAGAUGAAAAGCACUUUGAAAAGAGGGUUAAACAGCACGUGAAAUUGUUGAAGGGGAAGCGCUCGUGACCAGACUUGCGCCGGGGCGAUCAUCUGGCGUUCUCGCCGGUGCACUCGCCCCGGCGCAGGCCAGCGUCGGUUCGGGAGGGGGGACAAAGGCGCCGGGAACGUGGCUCCCACGGGAGUGUUAUAGCCCGGCGCGUCAUGCCCCCGCCCGGACCGAGGUUCGCGCUCUGCAAGGACGCUGGCGUAAUGGUCACCAGCGGCCCGUCUUGAAACACGGACCAAGGAGUCGAGGUUCUGCGCGAGUGUUUGGGUGGCAAACCCGCACGCGUAAUGAAAGUGAACGUAGGUGAGAGCUUCGGCGCAUCACCGACCGAUCCUGAUGUCUUCGGAUGGAUUUGAGUAGGAGCGUAGGGCCUCGGACCCGAAAGAUGGUGAACUAUGCUUGGAUAGGGUGAAGCCAGAGGAAACUCUGGUGGAGGCUCGCAGCGGUUCUGACGUGCAAAUCGAUCGUCAAAUCUGAGCAUGGGGGCGAAAGACUAAUCGAACCAUCUAGUAGCUGGUUACCGCCGA